rnacentral:lncRNA from 1 species
AUGAGCAACAUAGUUGUUUUGUUUAGUCUCUUUAGAGAAAACAGCUCUAUCGUAAUCGAAUGGCCUCUGCCAGGGGGUACGACAGUGGGGGGAAACAAAAGAGCGGUUAAGCAAUCGCGGGCUCCUCUCUGUUGUUUGAAGAGUUGUUGUAGGCUCCGCUUUCUACGGAGGGUUACGGGGCUUCAGCGCGGGCCGGACUCGUCCACCCGGGGCUGCAGCGAGGCCCUGCCCCGAGGAAUGGGAAAAGCAAAGGGCAGAUUCAUGGCAGAUUCACUCCACUCGUUCCCCAAAAUGCCAGCACUGGCGCGUGGGCGUUUCAGCCCCACAUGUUGCCCGUGGGUCACAGAUGCUUUUAAGGAUUUUUCCUGCCCCAGCAGCRCAGGCCGGAAUACGAUGCCAGAUGCCCCAAAUGAAGCCGCCGUGAGUCACCCAUGUGACACAGCGUUAUUACUGUUAUUUUUUCCAGUAGCACUGUGUUCCCAGAGCAAAGAAGUGGCUCCCAACACAAACAUCUUACAGUCUGACCGCGGGAGGGAGGAGGCGAGCGUGCGCCAGCGCCCAGCAUUUCGUAACGCGCUGCCCGGCCGCUGCUCCGUGCCAGCCCCUCCGCCCGUGACUCCCGGGCCAUCGCCUCCGCGUGGCAAGAGCAGCCCGUCUUUUUCGGUUUUUUCCCCAGGCCCGCGCUACCCGAGCCGCGGCUUUCCCGGGGGCUGGGCCGUGAGCCCGGGGCGCUUUAUUCUUCUGAUCUUUUGCAUCCUCAGAGGAUGGUUUUACAGUGACGCUUUUAUUACUUGUUUCCAAAGGCUCGAGCAUCCGAUAAAGCACUUUGCACUAUCCCGGGGUUUCGCAGUGCUUUAUGCAAAGGGCUCAGCUGUGAUUUCGGUGCACGUGCCCGCUGCAGAGCCCACCUUCCCCGCAGCCCCUGUGCAAGCCUUCCUCAGCGAUGCUGAAUUCAGAAUAACCCCUGAAGGCGGAAGCGGAGGACGGUGCUGUUCUUGCAGUCCUAGGCCAAGACUAACUUGCCUCCACCUCUUAGAGGCCUGUCAAAGGGCUGUCAAACACCGUCGGUUUGGGUGGAUUUCAUGGUGGAACAGAAGGAUCGUCCCUAUUGCGAAAUGCAUGGGAACAAGAGGAAAGAGGAGUGCUGGGAAACGGGGGUGA